rnacentral:rRNA from 1 species
UACGUAGGGUGCAAGCGUUGUCCGGAAUUAUUGGGCGUAAAGAGCGUGUAGGCGGCCUUACAGGUCAGCUGUGAAACUCGAGGCUCAACCUCGAGAUGUCGACCGAAACCAUCUGGCUAGAGUCCGGAAGAGGAGAAUGGAAUUCCCGGUGUAGCGGUGAAAUGCGCAGAUAUCGGGAAGAACACCCGUGGCGAAGGCGGUUCUCUGGGACGGUACUGACGCUGAGACGCGAAAGCGUGGGGAGCGAACA